rnacentral:rRNA from 1 species
AGUGAACGCUGGCGGUAGGCCUAACACAUGCAAGUCGAACGGCAGCACAGUAAGAGCUUGCUCUUACGGGUGGCGAGUGGCGGACGGGUGAGGAAUACAUCGGAAUCUACUUUUUCGUGGGGGACAACGUAGGGAAACUUACGCUAAUACCGCAUACGACGUACGGGUGAAAGCAGGGGAUCUUCGGACCUUGCGCGUUUGAAUGAGCCGAUGUCGGAUUAGCUAGUUGGCGGGGUAAAGGCCCACCAAGGCGACGAGCCGUAGCUGGUCUGAGAGGAUGAUCAGCCACACUGGAACUUAGACACGGUCCAGACUCCUACGGGAGGCACCAGUGGGGAAUAUUGGACAAUGGGCGCAAGCCUGAUCCAGCCAUACCGCGUGGGUGAAGAAGGCCUUCGGGUUGUAAAGCCCUUUUGUUGGGAAAGAAAAGCAGCAGGUUAAUACCCCGCUGUUCUGACGGUACCCAAAGAAUAAGCACCGGCUAACUUCGUG